GAACGAACCCUAGCUGGAACAGAAGAAAUUCGGCAGAAGAGAAGUUAUAGAGACUCAAAGCAUGAGAAGGACUGAACGUGCCGUUGCUGGUUUGAAGAUGGAGGGGGCAAAGUGACCAGAACCCCAGGUGGUCAUAAGGAACUGAGAGAGUCUGCCUGAUGAUAGCCAGGAGAACACAGGAAGUUCAACCAGAAAAAGAUGCAAGAAUUCUGCGAACAACCUGAAUGAUCUUGGAAGCAGAUGUUCACUGAGAGCCUGGAGAUAGGAGCCCAGGCCGGCUAACACCUUGAUUUUGACCUUGUGAGAUCUGCCACCAGUCUACCCACUAGGACUUCUGACCUACAGACCUGUCCAGGACUCUCAUGAGUCAUCUGAAGACAUGUUUUCCUGGUGCCUUCAGUUUCCUUCCUAGGUUUCCCACUCACCAAAACCUAUGGACACCAGAGCACACAGGAGCCUAAAAUGGUGUUCUGAGAAGAGAGGAGGGUGGAGAAGAAUGAAGACUGCAUAUGUUAGGGAGGCGGAAAGGCCAGAGCAGGAAAAGCAGCAUGUGUCCAAGUAAUUUGAUGAAAACACAGACCACAGAAAAAGAAGCAAUGCGAUUGAAGAUGAGCAAUGCUCAGAACUCACUGCAAAACAUAUGCAAACCAAUAACCAGAUGCUUCAGCUGCGUUCGAAGCUGGCGCUAGAUGCAGCCUUUAUAUAACACUCCUCUCUGGAAUAAUCUGGUGCAACUGCACUACGCUUCUUAGUAUUAUAAGUACCCCCAGUUGUAUGUACCUUUCUCCUAGUAUCAAUCAGUUCAUGUUCCAUCUGAUGCCUCGGCCUCAGCUAUGUAGAGAGAAAUUGUAAGCAGAAUCAAGUUGUUAUGUGGAAGGAACACCUGGCUCAUAUUCUUCUGCUUUACAGAAGAUUGCCUGUCUGAUUCUGUUUCAUUUCAGCUCUCUGUUUGAACCUAGAAGAGUCAAAUGUUUACGUAUUCCUAGUAUAAAGCGAUUUUUGGCCACUUUCCGCAUUCCUAUAACCACAGCUUAAAAAUUAGCGUUUUGGGGAAAUUGUUGUUGAAUCCUCUAUGCCGAAACAUUUAACAAGUCUUUUGUAAUCGUCUACUAUUUCUUAUUCCUGACUGCUUCUUAUAGAAAGAGAACCCUAGAAAUGGCAAACUCAUUUUUUUCCCUUGACUUUGUCUCUAUGUAGUGUGUGUAGAGGGGUGGGGUAGUGGGUAACUCAGGGAGUGGGGAAGAUAUUUUGUAUAUGGCAUUUUACCAUUACAAAAGGAUUCUUGGCAUUCAUGAUGCCACACUCUUUUCCUAUCUCAAAAUACAUCACAAGCCAGUUAUACUGUGGUUUAUUAUGGCAUAUGUUCAUAUGUUUAUUUCUAUAGGAUUGUUAGUUGCAGAUAACAGAACCAGUCUAACUAUUCUAGCAGUUAGGGAUUUAUUAAGCAUAUUAGUUUUCUCACAGACUCAUCAGGAGAGGAGAGAACCAGGCUGAGAUUCUGCACACUCAGGAGCUACAUAUCCAGGGAUGGAAAGCGAGAAAAGUUUAUGAACAACCAUACACAGACACUCCAUUCAUGGAAACCUCACUGUACUUCGCUUCACUGUAUCCAUCUCGCUUUGCUCAUUUCCACUUUGAGUCUCAUGAAGACACAUUUGAUUGGCAGAUGUGAAGACACACACCAACAACUUAUCUGAUGUUAAGCCUAAAAAAUGCAGAUUUUAGCUUUCAAGACAAUCAUACAGGAAGACCUGGAAAAGGAGUUUGAAAAGGGUACUGAGUGUUCCUUCCACAGUAACUUGUAUAUCAGCUGUUGUCAUCUAUACUUUGAAUUUUAAAUAAAUUUAGCUUGAAUCUGCUAUCCCACAGCUCAGAAAAUUUAAGUGGCUGUCCAACAUUUUGGGAAUUCCUAGGGGGUUAAAUUCUCUUGGAAAACCCUUAUUUUGGAUAUCCUGUUUCCUUUAAAUAUCUCUUCAUUAUUUCAACCUGCAUCCUGAGAGUUCCCCUUCACUAAGUUGACCUAGAAUCGAAUUGACGUCUCAAUAGUUAUGCAUCCUGCACGUUUGUAUUUUAACAAUUCUUCUGGUAUUUUGGUAUAUUGGAUGGGGGUUGUGUAAUUAGUUUAACUUAAAUUUUGCUUCAGCCACCUCUGUCACAAUCAAUUCCUUUAACCUAGCCCCUCUUUCCAGCUGGUCUCUGAUGCCGCGUUGCUUCACCCAAACCCCUUUUUAUUCCCUGCACCUUCCCCAACUACACCUUCAAAUUCCUACUCAUUACCUACUUAUCAACAUUAACCUAUGUCCUUGGAUAACCAUAGCUCACUCAAGAUAAACUCAGGGGACCUCACCUUUAAAAUCAGAUCUGUCUCAGAAGUAGACAGUUCUCUUCUUGAAAAUAAUGUGUCUAUAUUUUUAAGUAAUGAUAUUCUCUCCGAGACACACAUAAUAACUCAUACUUAAAAAUAGCAAUUCAAAACUCACUUAUUGAAUCUUUGCUGUGUUAAUAGAAUAAAAAUGCUCAUUGUAGAAAAUAAAAAUAUAUGAAAUAUAAUUCCUGCUCCAAAAUUGCUUAUAAUCUCUUGAGAGAUAAAAUACAUAUGAAAAGAAAUAAACUUACAGAGAUAGGUAACAGUAGUACCAACUGGUACUAGUGGUAGAGAUGCUAUGUACUACUAGAGUUUAACAAAAUGAAAUAUUGACAUGAAAGUAAAAAUGAUGGUUUGCCAUCACCAAAGGAAUAUAUUCACUUGUUAACUAGCUCUUCCAUUGUAUAGACAUUUCCUGAUAUAUUAUUAGUGAAGGAAAUCUUUCUUCAAAGGUUAAUGUUUGAUAUGCACAAAUCAUAUUUCAAAAGUGAGAGGGUAUUUUCAAAAAUAAAAUAGUUGUAUUUGUUAACGUUUUUAUGACUCAUAUGUAAAUAUACUAUAAAUACUUGCAAUAAAUUCUUUUUAAAUAUACAAGUGCAUGUUAUUUCAUAAAACAAGUGUUCGUCAAAAUUCCAAAGAUUAAACAUAUGAACUGGAAAAAAUUCAAA
ensembl:lncRNA